rnacentral:rRNA from 1 species
AACGAACGCUGGCGGCAUGCCUAACACAUGCAAGUCGAACGAGACCUUCGGGUCUAGUGGCGCACGGGUGCGUAACGCGUGGGAAUCUGCCCUUGGGUUCGGAAUAACAGUUAGAAAUGACUGCUAAUACCGGAUGAUGUCUUCGGACCAAAGAUUUAUCGCCCAGGGAUGAGCCCGCGUAGGAUUAGCUAGUUGGUGGGGUAAAGGCCUACCAAGGCGACGAUCCUUAGCUGGUCUGAGAGGAUGAUCAGCCACACUGGGACUGAGACACGGCCCAGACUCCUACGGGAGGCAGCAGUGGGGAAUAUUGGACAAUGGGCGAAAGCCUGAUCCAGCAAUGCCGCGUGAGUGAUGAAGGCCUUAGGGUUGUAAAGCUCUUUUACCCGGGAUGAUAAUGACAGUACCGGGAGAAUAAGCCCCGGCUAACUCCGUGCCAGCCGCCGCCGUAAGAC